rfam:Cricetulus griseus cell line CHO-K1, whole genome shotgun sequence.
GGGGAUGUAGCUCAUUGGUAGGGUUCCUGCUUUGCAUGCAGGAGUCCGUGGGUUUGAUUCCCAGCAUCCCCA